CUAAAUUUUGUGUUUGAAGUACAUGCAUCAGACAGCAAGGAGAGGGAGGAGGAACACCAGGCUGUGACUGGAAAGCGAGGCAAGAGUGGCUGAGUGCCUGGCUCAGUAUCGCUCAGGAAGCUGUACCAGCAGCAGGAACUGCUCUCCCCAGAAUCUCAGCCACCACUUCAAUAGCAUUCUCUUCAGUAAAAAGGACAACUGGAAGACAAAUAAAUUGGCUAACUUUUUAUGUUCCUUCAUGAGAGGUUUAACUCAGUUUCAAUUUGAAGUUCAGAUGAAGAUUGGGUCUUGUCUUAUUUUAUCUAAAUGAGUUCAUCUGUCUCGUAUCACAGCUUGACUUUGUUAUGCAUUUUAGCCUUCUGGUCUUUUUCAUGUGAGGUAGUAAAUACUGGCUCUUUUCAACAGUUGAAAUGUCAGGACAUGAUCAUUUUGAAUGUGCUAGAUGAAAUCUGUGAAAUGCUGCAUUUCUUUUUCAGUGAUCUCUGGAAUGAAAUCACAGUUCACAGGGCUAGAGGACUGGAAGUGACGUCCAGGGUCACUGAGGCCAGUGCAGUGAGUUCAGCCCAGUGCGCAGGCACUACCUCUUAUAAUCCCUUUCACAUGCCCACAGACUGUUGGGGUUUUUUGUUUUGGGGUGGGGAUUUUUUUGCAAAGUUUGAACACUUCACUGCAAACAGACACUACAUCAGGAAACAAGAUUUUAUUCUUUGGUGGAGACUGAAGCCUAAGUGUCCUCAAACUGAAAAGAGCUUGCAGGAUCAGUCAUAUUUUAUGCAGGUGACCUGGGGUGGAGAUAUUGUUGCUGGAUUCUGCCUCUCACAUCAGUGGGUGCAAUGAGAUCCCAACUCCACUGCUAUCCCCCAUCUCAGGGAUGCUGCCCACCUUAUCUUUCUGCAUCUGUUUCCCUAUCUGUCCCUACAAACAACAAAUGUAAAAUGCCUUCAAAUCUGCUGGUGAACAGCUUUAUGUAAGAGCUGCAUUCGGUCUGAGGCAGGCCAGAGCAAUCCAGGCAGCUUCAGCUUCUGUUAUUUAGUGGUCCAUGAACAGAAUAAAGUCAGAAAAUGAGGCAAGAA